AGGUGCGAAAGCAGGUCAUAGUGAUCCGGUGGUUCUGAAUGGAAGGGCCAUCGCUCAACGGAUAAAAGGUACUCCGGGGAUAACAGGCUGAUACCGCCCAAGAGUUCAUAUCGACGGCGGUGUUUGGCACCUCGAUGUCGGCUCAUCACAUCCUGGGGCUGAAGUAGGUCCCAAGGGUAUGGCUGUUCGCCAUUUAAAGUGGUACGCGAGCUGGGUUUAGAACGUCGUGAGACAGUUCGGUCCCUAUCUGCCGUGGGCGCUGGAGAACUGAGGGGGGCUGCUCCUAGUACGAGAGGACCGGAGUGGACGCAUCACUGGUGUUCGGGUUGUCAUGCCAAUGGCACUGCCCGGUAGCUAAAUGCGGAAGAGAUAAGUGCUGAAAGCAUCUAAGCACGAAACUUGCCCCGAGAUGAGUUCUCCCUGAGACUUAGAGUCUCCUGAAGGAACGUUGAAGACGACGACGUUGAUAGGCCGGGUGUGUAAGCGCAGCGAUGCGUUGAGCUAACCGGUACUAAUGAACCGUGAGGCUUAACCUU
rnacentral:rRNA from 1 species